rnacentral:rRNA from 1 species
AUACGUAGGGUGCAAGCGUUAAUCGGAAUUACUGGGCGUAAAGCGUGCGCAGGCGGUUUUGGAAGACAGAGGUGAAAUCCCCGGGCUCAACCUGGGAACUGCCUUUGUGACUGCAAGGCUAGAGUACGGCAGAGGGGGAUGGAAUUCCGCGUGUAGCAGUGAAAUGCGUAGAUAUGCGGAGGAACACCGAUGGCGAAGGCAAUCCCCUGGGCCUGUACUGACGCUCAUGCACGAAAGCGUGGGGAGCAAACAGGAUUAGAUACCCUGGUAGUCCACGCCCUAAACGAUGUCAACUGGUUGUUGGGUCUUCAUUGACUCAGUAACGAAGCUAACGCGUGAAGUUGACCGCCUGGGGAGUACGGCCGCAAGGUUAAAACUCAAAUGAAUUGACGGG